AAAUUCUUUCCAAUGUCCACCCUGAAUCUCCCAUGGCACAGCCUGAGGCCAUUUUCUCUUGUCCUUACAGUGGUUGCCCCAGAGAUGAGCCCAACACCCACCUUGCUGCUACCUCCAAAAGUGUGAAUUGAUGAGAACACUUCCACAAAGGUUUCUAUUUCGCAAGUGCCCAGGGCAGCACCCGCGCAGACGCCAAGGGAUCCCCAUCCCUCAGCCAGGCACACACAGCAGCCACUGCCCUUGGAUCCACACUCCCCAGAACAAGCUUCACAGCUCCAGCAUCCUUCAGACUGAAGAAUGAAGGAAACACCACAGUGCAAGUGUGCUGCUGCAGGAAGGGAUUUGUAAGAGUCUUCUCCUCCACCAGCCAUCUGAGCAGUGCUCCUCUCUCCCUGUUGAUCUCAUUCAGGCUGCAUUGAACCACUGCACCAAAGAGAAACCUCCUCCACUCCAACAAGAAAUUUGCAUCUUUUUCAUCUCUCUGACUGCUGCUACUGCCCUUGGUACCUCCCUUCCCCCUUUUUCUCAUUAAAAAUACAUUUAUUCUAGCUUUAGCUGUCCUUUCUUAGUCCUUUCUUCUCAGGUAUUUCUCCUCUAAGAAUCAUCUGUUUGUGAACAUGGUUCAGACACCUCCCACCUCAGCUGCAGUGCCCAUAGCCUCUGUGGCACCCCACAAAUAGUCCCUUUCCUAUAUGAGGUCAAAAUGGGGACAAGUAGCAUGAAUUUGUGCUUACACAAGCAAGCCAUGGCACUGAGCCAAGGCCUGCUGAAGUUAUGAGGGCUUCUCCAAUGCCUCUAACAUUUUGGAAUCAUAAAACACGCAUAAAUGUUUUUAAACAUAGAUAAACAUAAGAAAUUCUUACUGUGUCUCUACAUUUGCGGGGAUUUUUUGUGUGUGCAUUUCACAAAAAAAAACC
rnacentral:lncRNA from 1 species